AUAAUAAAAUACAUGAACCCUUGUAUAAGUUCAAGAAUAUGGCUUGAACGUUUCUACCAGCUACCCUAAAUGGCUUGUCUACAAGAAGAUGAAUGUUUUCA
rnacentral:ncRNA from 3 species